AUGGAAGCGUAUACGGUGGAUGCCUUGGCAGUUAGAGGCGAUGAAGGACGUGUAAGUCUGCGAAAAGCUGUGGUGAGCCGACAAAAUGCAUUUGAGCCACAGAUGUCCGAAUGGGGAAACCCACCUGUUUACAGGUAUCGUUGCGUGAAUACAUAGCGUAACGAGGCGAACGAGGGGAACUGAAACAUCUAAGUACCCUUAGGAAAAGAAAUCAAACGAGAUUCCCCUAGUAGCGGCGAGCGAACGGGGAACAGCCCUUAAGCUGUUUAGUGUGUAGUGGAAUCCUUUGGGAAGAGGAGCGAUACAGGGUGAUAGCCCCGUACACAAAGCGUGCUUUACAGUGAAAUCGAGUAGGUCGGGACACGUGUUAUCUUGACUGAAUAUGGGGGGACCAUCCUCCAAGGCUAAAUACUCCUAACUGACCGAUAGUGAACCAGUACCGUGAGGGAAAGGCGAAAAGAACCCCUGUGAGGGGAGUGAAAUAGAACCUGAAACCGUAUACGUACAAGCAGUGGGAGCCCCAUCACUAAGUGCCUUUAGUGAUGUGACUCACAAAGCAGUAAUAACCAGUUUGAUUUAACGUUAACGUUGACCUGCGAAGCAGCCAACGGUAAACCGCCAAAAUCAAGCAGGGUGCUUAGUGAUGGGGUGACUGCGUACCUUUUGUAUAAUGGGUCAGCGACUUAUAUUUAGUAGCAAGGUUAAGCGAAUAGCGGAGCCGUAGCGAAAGCGAGUGUUAACUGCGCGUUUAGUUGCUAGGUAUAGACCCGAAACCCGGUGAUCUAGCCAUGAGCAGGUUGAAGGUUGAGUAACAUCAACUGGAGGACCGAACCCACUGACGUUGAAAAGUCAGGGGAUGACUUGUGGCUGGGGGUGAAAGGCCAAUCAAACCGGGAGAUAGCUGGUUCUCCCCGAAAUCUAUUUAGGUAGAGCCUCGGACGAAUUCCAUUGGGGGUAGAGCACUGUUAAGGCUAGGGGGUCAUCCCGACUUACCAACCCUUUGCAAACUCCGAAUACCAAUGAGAACUAUCCGGGAGACACACGGCGGGUGCUAACGUCCGUCGUGGAGAGGGAAACAACCCAGACCGCCAGCUAAGGUCCCAAAAUAUUGCUAAGUGGGAAACGAUGUGGGAAGGCACAGACAGCUAGGAGGUUGGCUUAGAAGCAGCCACCCUUUAAAGAAAGCGUAAUAGCUCACUAGUCGAGUCGGCCUGCGCGGAAGAUGUAACGGGGCUAAGCAAUAUACCGAAGCUGCGGCAGCAUGUUUACAUGCUGGGUAGGGGAGCGUUGUGUAAGUGGAUGAAGGUGAGUUGUAAAGCUUGCUGGACAUAUCACAAGUGCGAAUGCUGACAUGAGUAACGAUAAUGGGAGUGAAAAACUCCCACGCCGGAAGACCAAGGUUUCCUGUCCCAUGCUAAUCAGGGCAGGGUAAGUCGGCCCCUAAGGCGAGGCAGAAAUGCGUAGUCGAUGGGAAACGGAUUAAUAUUUCCGUACUUAUAUAAUCAGUGAUGGAGGGACGGAGAAGGCUAGGCAAGCUUGGCGUUGGUUGUCCAAGUGAAAGCGAGUAGGCCGAGAAUUUAGGUAAAUCCGGAUUCUUAAAGCUGAGACGCGAGACGAGCUCCCAAGGGAGUGAAGUUGUUGAUGCCCUGCUUCCAGGAAAAGCUUCUAAACUUAUGAUUAUAUGAACCGUACCCCAAACCGACACAGGUGGUCAGGUAGAGAAUACUAAGGCGCUUGAGAGAACUCGGGUGAAGGAACUCGGCAAAAUUGUACCGUAACUUCGGGAGAAGGUACGCCUCUGUUUGUGAACACUUCGCGUGGUAAGCAAAUGGAGGCCGCAGUGACCAGGUGGCUGGGACUGUUUAUUAAAAACACAGCACUCUGCAAACUCGUAAGAGGACGUAUAGGGUGUGACACCUGCCCGGUGCCGGAAGGUUAAUUGAUGGGGUUAGUCCUCGGACGAAGCUCUUGAUCGAAGCCCCGGUAAACGGCGGCCGUAACUAUAACGGUCCUAAGGUAGCGAAAUUCCUUGUCGGGUAAGUUCCGACCUGCACGAAUGGUGUAACCAUGGCCACGCUGUCUCCACCCGAGACUCAGUGAAAUUGAAAUCGCAGUGAAGAUGCUGUGUACCCGCACCUAGACGGAAAGACCCCGUGAACCUUUACUACAGCUUGGCACUGAACAUUGAACCUACAUGUGUAGGAUAGGUGGGAGGCUUUGAAGCACAGUCGCUAGAUUGUGUGGAGCCGUCCUUGAAAUACCACCCUUGUAUGUUUGAUGUUCUAACAUUGGUCCCUAAUCGGGAUUGUGGACAGUGUCUGGUGGGUAGUUUGACUGGGGCGGUCUCCUCCCAAAUAGUAACGGAGGAGCACGAAGGUUAGCUAAUCACGGUCGGACAUCGUGAGGUUAGUGCAAUGGCAUAAGCUAGCUUAACUGCGAGACAGACACGUCGAGCAGGUACGAAAGUAGGUCAUAGUGAUCCGGUGGUUCUGUAUGGAAGGGCCAUCGCUCAACGGAUAAAAGGUACUCCGGGGAUAACAGGCUGAUACCGCCCAAGAGUUCAUAUCGACGGCGGUGUUUGGCACCUCGAUGUCGGCUCAUCACAUCCUGGGGCUGAAGUCGGUCCCAAGGGUAUGGCUGUUCGCCAUUUAAAGUGGUACGCGAGCUGGGUUUAGAACGUCGUGAGACAGUUCGGUCCCUAUCUGGUGUGGGCGUUGGAUGAUUGAUGGGAGCUGCUCCUAGUACGAGAGGACCGGAGUGGACGAACCGCUGGUGUUCGGGUUGUCAUGCCAAUGGCAUUGCCCGGUAGCUAUGUUCGGAACGGAUAACCGCUGAAAGCAUCUAAGCGGGAAGCCGGCCCAAAGAUGAGUCAUCCCUGACCUUUAAGGUCUGGAAGGGUUGUUAUAGACGAUGACGUUGAUAGGCAGGGUGUGGAAGCGUUGUAAGGCGUUAAGCUAACCUGUACUAAUUGCCCGAGAGGCUUA
rnacentral:rRNA from 1 species